rnacentral:ncRNA from 1 species
GGUCCGUGGCUAGUUCACUGUCUGGGGAAUGGCUCGGCUCGGGUGCCGAGGAAGGACGUGCCAAGCUGCGAUAUGCGUCGGGUAGGCGCAAGGAACCUGUGAUCCGACGAUCUCCGAAUGGGACCUCCUGACCGCAAGGUCGUUCCGUGAGGAACGGAAACCCCCGGGAUUGAAGCAUCCUAGUACGGGGAGGAAAAGAAACCAAUUGGGAUGCCCUCAGUAAAGGCGAUCGAAGAGGGUACAGAGCAAACCGAAGCCUCCGCGGAAACGCGGCGGCCGUGUGGUGUUCGGACCCCGGUACACCUUACCCCAUCAACUCGAACUCCGGUGGAAUGCCGAGGCUAGAGAGGGUGACAGCCCCGUAGAGGCAAGCGGGGAAGGUGAUUCGGGGGAUCCAGAGUAGCGUGCGUUGGAUAUCGCGCGCGAAGGUGGGUGGCAUAGACAUCCAACUCUAAACACAACCCGAGACCGAUAGCGCACUAGUAGCGUGAGUGAAAGCUGAAAAGUGCCCUUGACGGGAGGUAAAAAGAGCCUGAAACCAGACAGUUACAGACAUACACGGCGCGAAAGCGACGAAGUCCGAAAGGAUGGAGCGGUGUCGUGUUAUCCGUUGUGAAUAACGGGCCAGGGAGUUCUGAUCCACGGCGAGGUUAACCGCUCUACGCGGGAAGCCGAAGCGAAAGCGACAUGCGCGCAACGCCGCAAGGCGCGAGGCGCGUCGUGGGCUCGCGAGGA